AUUGAACGCUGGCGGCAGGCCUAACACAUGCAAGUCGAACGAGCGGCGGACGGGUGAGUAAUGUAUGGGAAACUGCCCGAUGGAGGGGGAUAACUACUGGAAACGGUAGCUAAUAACGCAUACCAUCGGAUGUACCCAGAUGGGAUUAGCUUGUAGGUGGGGUAACGGCUCACCUGGGCGACGCUCCCUAGCUGGUCUGAGAGGAUGACCAGCCACACUGGAACUGAGAACGGGCCCAGACUCUUACGGGAGGCAGCAGUGGGGAAUAUUGCACAAGGGGCGCAAGCCUGAUGCAGCCAUGCCGCGUGUAGGAAGAAGGCCUUCGGGUUGUAAAGUACUUUCAGUGGGGAGGCGUUACUGCCAGAAGAAGCACCGGCUAACUCCGUGCCAGCAGCCGCGGUAAUUC
rnacentral:rRNA from 1 species